AUUAUGGGCGGAGGACUAUGUCGGACGGUGAUGGGGUAUCGAUCUUAGGUGGGAGUCAUGUGUGGAUUGAUCAUUGCUCUUUGUCUAAUUGUCAUGAUGGGUUGAUUAAUGCCGUCCAUGGUUCCACAGCUAUUACUAUUUCUAACAAUUACUUGACUCAUCAAAACAAGGUUAUGCUCUUGGGUCACAGUGACAGCUAUACUCGAGAUAAGAAUAUGCAGGUCACAAUUGCCUUCAACCAUUUUGGAGAAUGGCUUGUGCAGAGAAUGCCAAGUUAAAUGUCCAAUUCAAUACUUUGUUUUUGUUUGGAUAUGCAAAAUCG
rnacentral:misc_RNA from 1 species